rnacentral:rRNA from 1 species
ACCUGCGGAGGGAUCAUUACUGAGUGAGGGCCUUCGGGCUCGACCUCCAACCCUUUGUGAACACAACUUGUUGCUUCGGGGGCGACCCUGCCGUUUCGACGGCGAGCGCCCCCGGAGACCAUCAAACACUGCAUCUUUGCGUCGGAGUUUAAGUAAAUUAAACAAAACUUUCAACAACGGAUCUCUUGGUUCUGGCAUCGAUGAAGAACGCAGCGAAAUGCGAUAAGUAAUGUGAAUUGCAGAAUUCAGUGAAUCAUCGAAUCUUUGAACGCACAUUGCGCCCUUUGGUAUUCCGAAGGGCAUGCCUGUUCGAGCGUCAUUUCACCACUCAAGCCUGGCUUGGUAUUGGGCGCCGCGGUCAAUCCGCGCGCCUCAAAGUCUCCGGCUGAGCUGUCCGUCUCUAAGCGUUGUGAUUUCAUUAAUCGCUUCGGAGUGCGGGCGGCCGCGGCCGUUAAAUCUUUCACAAGGUUGACCUCGGAUCAGGUAGGGAUACCCGCUGAACUUAAGCAUAUCAA